rnacentral:misc_RNA from 1 species
ACGGAGGCACCCCAAUGCAGAGGACACGCGGGAUCGUGCAUCCGCUGCUCAGCUUCGUGAAGCAGAUGCCGGGCGGCGAUGGGUGCUUUUCACUGACAUUCGAGCCAGUGGGAAAGAGAGCGCAUCCGUACAGCCGACGGCGCGAAUCAAGGAAAGAGUACGAGCUCUGAGAACGGCGCACCUGGGACCGCCUUUUCCCACCUCCUCAGCCUCAUACGCCUGUGGCGAUCUCCUGUUCUCGACUUCUCAAGGUAGACGUUCUUCUGUUGCACCCUCACCCGCAUCCGCGCGUGUGAGUGGCGGAUUGUGACGCGGAUAAAAUCAAGCUCGCCAUGCGCUGCCCCCUUUUCCUUCCCCGGUGCCUGUGCCCACCAGUGGGGAGGGGCUCAGCAGCCUAUUUUCGAUCGCGUUGCUGAUUUGGCCUUUGCGCUUCGUUUUCGGGUGGUCGACGCUGCUGGCUGUUUUGCGCUUCGCUGUAGUGUACAGCGUAUCGUGGCGCCGCGCUGUUCUCUUUCGCGUUUUCGGCACGGCCUGCCCACCGCACGCCACGUACUCUGUCUGUGCAUCAAACAGCAGGCCAUCCGGAUACAGGCUCGAUUUCACUCACCGACGACAGCGCACCCGUCCAACGCGCGCCGCCCUCUUCCCUUGCACCUCUGCCACUUUUGCUUUCCUCUCCUGUGCGUGUGGCUACUCCUCUGCUUCUUCUCGCGUAGAGGAGGAGGGGCAUCGGCACUGCUGACGCGUCUCCCACUGAAGUACGUGCAGGCCUUCCCUCUUUUCUGUUAGGCGCUGGGGACUUUCCAUCGAACCGCGCCGGAUGCCAGCGAAAGGUGCAGCGGGGUCACUGCCGCGCACAUCCUUGCAAAGGAAAGUCUUGCCCAUUUUUGUCUCGGGGAAGAGAAACUCAGACCUGUUUUGUCUGGCAACAGCCUGCACGACC